rnacentral:rRNA from 1 species
GACGAACGCUGGCGGCGUGCUUAACACAUGCAAGUCGAGCGGAGCUGCCAACGGGUGAGUAACGCGUGAGUAACUGCCCACCUCUCUGGGAUAACAGUUGACAACGGCUGCUAAUACCUGAUAGUGGGGGAUGGGUCGGGUCCUAUCAGCUUGUUGGUGGGGUAGUGGCCUACCAAGGCGACGACGGGUAGCCGGCCUGAGAGGGGGACCGGCCACAUUGUGCUGGGAUACGGGCCAAACGCCUACUGGAGGCAGCAGUGGGGAAUAUUUCACAAUGGGGGAAGCCCUGAUGCAGCACCGCCGCGUGCGGGAUGACGUCCUUCGGGUUGUAAACCGCUUUCAGCCAUGACGCGGUAGUGGCAGAAGAAGCACCGGCUAACUACUUGCCAGCAGCCGCGUAAUAC